rnacentral:rRNA from 1 species
UACGGGGGAGCAAGCGUUGUUCGGAUUUUCUGGGCGUAAAGGGCGCGUAGGCGGCCCCCGCAAGUCGAUUGUGAAAUCUCCGGGCUUAACUCGGAAAGGUCAACCGAUACUGCGGGGCUAGAGUGCAGAAGGGGCAACUGGAAUUCUCGGUGUAGCGGUGAAAUGCGUAGAUAUCGAGAGGAACACCUGCGGCGAAGGCGGGUUGCUGGGCUGACACUGACGCUGAAGCGCGAAAGCUAGGGGAGCGAACGGG